GAGCACCCCCUUACCUUGCCUGGGGUGCAGCUUCUGCCUCCUCGCUCCCGUCCUCGAGCCGUCGAUGAAGAGCGUGUCGCAGGUUUGGUCAAGAAAAGCCAGUGCUGGAGCUGGACGGAGCGGGCGAGCCACGGCUUUGCACACCCAGGUCCGGCGCCCGCUCCCCGCCGGCUCCUUCCAAAAGGCUUUAAAAUCCCAAAGUAGCCCGGGCAGAGCGGCACCAGCAGCUGCUUACUCUGCCAGGUCCUGGAUGGAUAAGUCACUUUUGUCACUCACUGGGAGGAGAGCUGAGUUUUCUUACAUAAUUAACGUUUUCCUUUUUUUUUUCCCAAGGCAGCUUGAAGAAAUGGACCAGCAAUUGAAGAAUCCCCUGUGUGGCACUUCUUAUAGCAGUUGUUCUCUUCUGCAUUUCUCAGAUAAGAGGCAAUUCAAGCAACUUUUGUUCAGGAUUAGAUUUGUGUUGUGCACUUUUCAGGCACCCUGAGGGAAGAGGAAGAUUAUAUUAUUAGAUUAGAUUAUCUGAGUUUAUUUUAUUUUGUUUUACAAUUUGAAAGAUCUCUGUAAAAAAUUAAGACAUCCUUUAGAGCUAAAUGUAAUUAAGCGUUGUCUUCUACCCCUUCUUCAAAUCAAAAUCCCCAACCUUGGUUUGAAAGGUUUUUAAACCUCUAAAGCCUGUAAGCAAGGCAAAAUAGAAGUUUGGAAGUUCAAUUUGCACUUCCAUAGAAAAUGUCAAAGUUCUUUACAUUCUUUGCUCAACUUUGGGACAAGGCACAGAAAUGUUGGUAUUUGCUGAAGGGGAAAGUUUUAAAAUAAAAAUCAAUUCAGAAUCCACUUCUGGACAAAAUGGCACCUCCUGAGUCUUCAAAACAACUGGUGAAGUCCUACAAAUCUCAACUAUUAGAAGUCUAUUAUUAUUUUUUUAUGAUGAGUAUAAAAGAGUAAAUAAAGCAUCACCUGAAAAGUU